AGGACUUUGACCACACAUUAAAGAAAACAUGAAUCUCCUGUUGAGCUCUCGGUUCCUGAUCUGUUUGUUUUUUAUAAUGGGAAUGAUCUCUGCCACCAAGCAUCACAGUGCAUCAGGUAUCAGGAGCAGAAGAGAGGGAAUAGUACCAAAAGUCCAGAGAAUUUUUUGUCAGACUUGUACUUUGUUGCAUAGAGCCUCCGCAGAGAUGAUGAACUACUGUAGAAAGGCCCUGUGUAAAGGCACUCGCAGGACAAAUUCUUCGCCGGGAUCUUGAAUUUAAUUGUAUUGUGAUCAUCAUUCUGCAGUUGAUAAGCAGAGGAAUCAUGAGUUAAUAUGUGCGAAAAUACAAUACUGUACUUAAUAAAAACUCAUUGUAAAUAA